GAUGAACGCUGGCGGCGUGCCUAAUACAUGCAAGUCGAACGCUUUGUGGUUCAACUGAUUUGAAGAGCUUGCUCAGAUAUGACGAUGGACAUUGCAAAGAGUGGCGAACGGGUGAGUAACACGUGGGAAACCUACCUCUUAGCAGGGGAUAACAUUUGGAAACAGAUGCUAAUACCGUAUAACAACGACAACCGCAUGGUUGUUAUUUAAAAGAUGGUUCUGCUAUCACUAAGAGAUGGUCCCGCGGUGCAUUAGCUAGUUGGUAAGGUAAUGGCUUACCAAGGCGAUGAUGCAUAGCCGAGUUGAGAGACUGAUCGGCCACAAUGGGACUGAGACACGGCCCAUACUCCUACGGGAGGCAGCAGUAGGGAAUCUUCCACAAUGGGCGAAAGCCUGAUGGAGCAACGCCGCGUGUGUGAUGAAGGGUUUCGGCUCGUAAAACACUGUUGUAAGAGAAGAAUGACAUUGAGAGUAACUGUUCAAUGUGUGACGGUAUCUUACCAGAAAGGAACGGCUAAAUACGUGCCAGCAGCCGCGGUAAUACGUAUGUUCCAAGCGUUAUCCGGAUUUAUUGGGCGUAAAGCGAGCGCAGACGGUUAUUUAAGUCUGAAGUGAAAGCCCUCAGCUCAACUGAGGAAUUGCUUUGGAAACUGGAUGACUUGAGUGCAGUAGAGGAAAGUGGAACUCCAUGUGUAGCGGUGAAAUGCGUAGAUAUAUGGAAGAACACCAGUGGCGAAGGCGGCUUUCUGGACUGUAACUGACGUUGAGGCUCGAAAGUGUGGGUAGCAAACAGGAUUAGAUACCCUGGUAGUCCACACCGUAAACGAUGAGUGCUAGGUGUUUGAGGGUUUCCGCCCUUUAAGUGCCGCAGCUAACGCAUUAAGCACUCCGCCUGGGGAGUACGACCGCAAGGUUGAAACUCAAAGGAAUUGACGGGGACCCGCACAAGCGGUGGAGCAUGUGGUUUAAUUCGAAGCAACGCGAAGAACCUUACCAGGUCUUGACAUCCCUUGACAACUCCAGAGAUGGAGCGUUCCCUUCGGGGACAAGGUGACAGGUGGUGCAUGGUUGUCGUCAGCUCGUGUCGUGAGAUGUUGGGUUAAGUCCCGCAACGAGCGCAACCCUUAUUACUAGUUGCCAGCAUUCAGUUGGGCACUCUAGUGAGACUGCCGGUGACAAACCGGAGGAAGGUGGGGAUGACGUCAAAUCAUCAUGCCCCUUAUGACCUGGGCUACACACGUGCUACAAUGGCGUAUACAACGAGUUGCCAACCCGCGAGGGUGAGCUAAUCUCUUAAAGUACGUCUCAGUUCGGAUUGUAGGCUGCAACUCGCCUACAUGAAGUCGGAAUCGCUAGUAAUCGCGGAUCAGCACGCCGCGGUGAAUACGUUCCCGGGUCUUGUACACACCGCCCGUCACACCAUGAGAGUUUGUAACACCCAAAGCCGGUGGGGUAACCUUCGGGAGCCAGCCGUCUAAGGUGGGACAGAUGAUUAGGGUG
rnacentral:rRNA from 1 species